UACAGAGGUCUCAAGCGUUGUUCGGAUUCAUUGGGCGUAAAGGGUGCGUAGGCGGCGCGGUAAGUCGGGUGUGAAAUCUUGGAGCUUAACUCCGAAACUGCAUUCGAUACUGCCGUGCUUGAGGACUGGAGAGGAGACUGGAAUUUACGGUGUAGCGGUGAAAUGCGUAGAUAUCGUAAGGAAGACCAGUGGCGAAGGCGGGUCUCUGGACAGUUCCUGGCACUGAGACACGAAGGCCAGGGGAGCAAACGGG
rnacentral:rRNA from 1 species